rnacentral:rRNA from 1 species
GAUGAACGCUGGCGGCGUGCCUAAUACAUGCAAGUCGAGCGAACGGACGAGAAGCUUGCUUCUCUGAUGUUAGCGGCGGACGGGUGAGUAACACGUGGAUAACCUACCUAUAAGACUGGGAUAACUUCGGGAAACCGGAGCUAAUACCGGAUAAUAUUUUGAACCGCAUGGUUCAAAAGUGAAAGACGGUCUUGCUGUCACUUAUAGAUGGAUCCGCGCUGCAUUAGCUAGUUGGUAAGGUAACGGCUUACCAAGGCAACGAUGCAUAGCCGACCUGAGAGGGUGAUCGGCCACACUGGAACUGAGACACGGUCCAGACUCCUACGGGAGGCAGCAGUAGGGAAUCUUCCGCAAUGGGCGAAAGCCUGACGGAGCAACGCCGCGUGAGUGAUGAAGGUCUUCGGAUCGUAAAACUCUGUUAUUAGGGAAGAACAUAUGUGUAAGUAACUGUGCACAUCUUGACGGUACCUAAUCAGAAAGCCACGGCUAACUACGUGCCAGCAGCCGCGGUAAUACGUAGGUGGCAAGCGUUAUCCGGAAUUAUUGGGCGUAAAGCGCGCGUAGGCGGUUUUUUAAGUCUGAUGUGAAAGCCCACGGCUCAACCGUGGAGGGUCAUUGGAAACUGGAAAACUUGAGUGCAGAAGAGGAAAGUGGAAUUCCAUGUGUAGCGGUGAAAUGCGCAGAGAUAUGGAGGAACACCAGUGGCGAAGGCGACUUUCUGGUCUGUAACUGACGCUGAUGUGCGAAAGCGUGGGGAUCAAACAGGAUUAGAUACCCUGGUAGUCCACGCCGUAAACGAUGAGUGCUAAGUGUUAGGGGGUUUCCGCCCCUUAGUGCUGCAGCUAACGCAUUAAACACUCCGCCUGGGGAGUACGACCGCAAGGUUGAAACUCAAAGGAAUUGACGGGGACCCGCACAAGCGGUGGAGCAUGUGGUUUAAUUCGAAGCAACGCGAAGAACCUUACCAAAUCUUGACAUCCUUUGACAACUCUAGAGAUAGAGCCUUCCCCUUCGGGGGACAAAGUGACAGGUGGUGCAUGGUUGUCGUCAGCUCGUGUCGUGAGAUGUUGGGUUAAGUCCCGCAACGAGCGCAACCCUUAAGCUUAGUUGCCAUCAUUAAGUUGGGCACUCUAAGUUGACUGCCGGUGACAAACCGGAGGAAGGUGGGGAUGACGUCAAAUCAUCAUGCCCCUUAUGAUUUGGGCUACACACGUGCUACAAUGGACAAUACAAAGGGCAGCGAAACCGCGAGGUCAAGCAAAUCCCAUAAAGUUGUUCUCAGUUCGGAUUGUAGUCUGCAACUCGACUACAUGAAGCUGGAAUCGCUAGUAAUCGUAGAUCAGCAUGCUACGGUGAAUACGUUCCCGGGUCU